AGAGUUUGAUCCUGGCUCAGGAUGAACGCUAGCUACAGGCUUAACACAUGCAAGUCGAGGGGCAGCAUGGUCUUAGCUUGCUAAGGCCGAUGGCGACCGGCGCACGGGUGAGUAACACGUAUCCAACCUGCCGUCUACUCUUGGACAGCCUUCUGAAAGGAAGAUUAAUACAAGAUGGCAUCAUGAGUCCGCAUGUUCACAUGAUUAAAGGUAUUCCGGUAGACGAUGGGGAUGCGUUCCAUUAGAUAGUAGGCGGGGUAACGGCCCACCUAGUCUUCGAUGGAUAGGGGUUCUGAGAGGAAGGUCCCCCACAUUGGAACUGAGACACGGUCCAAACUCCUACGGGAGGCAGCAGUGAGGAAUAUUGGUCAAUGGGCGAGAGCCUGAACCAGCCAAGUAGCGUGAAGGAUGACUGCCCUAUGGGUUGUAAACUUCUUUUAUAAAGGAAUAAAGUCGGGUAUGCAUACCCGUUUGCAUGUACUUUAUGAAUAAGGAUCGGCUAACUCCGUGCCAGCAGCCGCGGUAAUACGGAGGAUGCGAGCGUUAUCCGGAUUUAUUGGGUUUAAAGGGUGCGUAGGCGGCACGCCAAGUCAGCGGUGAAAUUUCCGGGCUCAACCCGGACUGUGCCGUUGAAACUGGCGAGCUAGAGUGCACAAGAGGCAGGCGGAAUGCGUGGUGUAGCGGUGAAAUGCAUAGAUAUCACGCAGAACCCCGAUUGCGAAGGCAGCCUGCUAGGGUGCGACAGACGCUGAGGCACGAAAGCGUGGGUAUCGAACAGGAUUAGAUACCCUGGUAGUCCACGCAGUAAACGAUGAAUACUAACUGUUUGCGAUACAAUGUAAGCGGUACAGCGAAAGCGUUAAGUAUUCCACCUGGGGAGUACGCCGGCAACGGUGAAACUCAAAGGAAUUGACGGGGGCCCGCACAAGCGGAGGAACAUGUGGUUUAAUUCGAUGAUACGCGAGGAACCUUACCCGGGCUCAAACGCAGGGGGAAUGUCGGUGAAAGCCGGCAGCUAGUAAUAGUCACCUGCGAGGUGCUGCAUGGUUGUCGUCAGCUCGUGCCGUGAGGUGUCGGCUUAAGUGCCAUAACGAGCGCAACCCCUAUCGACAGUUACUAACGGGUGAAGCCGAGGACUCUGUCGAGACUGCCGGCGCAAGACGCGAGGAAGGUGGGGAUGACGUCAAAUCAGCACGGCCCUUACGUCCGGGGCGACACACGUGUUACAAUGGCAGGUACAGAAGGCAGCCAGUCAGCAAUGACGCGCGAAUCCCGAAAACCUGUCUCAGUUCGGAUUGGAGUCUGCAACCCGACUCCAUGAAGCUGGAUUCGCUAGUAAUCGCGCAUCAGCCAUGGCGCGGUGAAUACGUUCCCGGGCCUUGCACUCACCGCCCGUCA
rnacentral:rRNA from 1 species